CGUCGAAACCGUGUCUCUCGUGUUUCAUAAUGGCAAUUGUCUCUCCCACGAGAAGGCCCGUGCGGGUGCGCUUUGCUCCUCUCCCCGCGUGCUCUCCCUCUCUCUCGCGCGCGCGGCGACGACUCGGCUAGUCGGCUACCGCCGCCGCCCCCUACGCCAGCUUCCCAGCUCUUCGUCAGGCCCUUCUCCGUCAACGAGCACCCAGCACAUAUCCUGAGCCCCUCCACACCUCAACGAUGGCGGGAUUCAGAAGCCUUGCACCCAAGACCAGGAACCUGGUGGUGGCUGGGGGCCUGUCGGCCUUCGUGCUCGGGGUCUACUACUACACCAUGAGAGCCGUGGGAGGCACGGACGAGCUGCAGGUGGCGAUCGACAAGUUUGAGGAGAUGAAGAAGAAGGACGCUGCCAGAAACUCCAGCACAGGAGGAUCGUAAACGCGGCGCCCUUCUCGUCUCUGUACUGAACCUGGAUCUGCAGGCUGACAUGAUACGGUAGUCAAGUCGCUCAGUAGGCCAAGAACAUGCGUGCCUCUACUGUGCAAUAAAUAAUGUGUGAUACUCUUUAUCAGAUAGAGCUUGGCAGCUUGUGUUUUAAGGAGAGAUGUACACUCGAGUGUUUUUGUCCUAUGAUAUAAUAGUGGUCGCAAUGUCUAAAUUUCCCUGAUAUAACUUGGCGAGACGGAAAUUCUUUGGGAUAAGUAUUUGCUUGUGUAAUUA